rnacentral:lncRNA from 1 species
UUAACAUUUUACAAGCUUCUUACAUUAUUAAAUGAAACAGAUGAAUGAUAUUGAUGAACACUGUUGCGGAAUCUACCGAGUUGAAACAAAAAGUUGUGAAAGAAUUGCUGAUACAAGCUGGAAGAAAUGCUAUAUUUACAAGUAUAUUCAGGGAUAAGAAUUUUCAUGUUCUUACUAUCAAACAACAGAAAUGAAGACUGCUUAUGUAAUACACAUUAAUCAAUGUAACACACAUUGUAUGCUUCAUGCAUGUUGGAAAAGGUUAGAGUGCCAUCAUAUUAGAACAUUUUCAUUCAAAUAUACCAGACAGCGUUUAGAUGUUGCAACUGAACAUUUUAUACAUGAACUCAUUAUAGAACAUAAUUAUAUAAUACAUUUCACUUGAACAAUUAGCGACAACCAGCAAAAUGUCUGGUGUAGAAUUAUAAUUUAUAUAAAAACCCGUCUCGUCUGCACAAGGGUAACGACACCAUAAAAUCUACGCCCUCCAUUUUCAGGAGUGUGGAUGGCAGAGUUAAUGUUCUUCCACUGGUCAGCUAUGGGCAUAAUGGCAGAAGUUGGAGAAGAAACUUUUUAAUACUUUAAUGUCCAGAAAUAAAUAGUUCGAUGAUUUUUCUAAAACGCUGACAAACAGAGCCUCAAAGUUAUGGCGCAAUGAACCAUUCGAGCAGGAAUGGCGACAGCAAUAUUGAACAGUAGAACAUCACAAAAUGUAAGUGCCUCGCGCAUCAACUAAAUUAUUUGCAUAUAUAAAAUGGUCCAAUACAUUUAAAUAAUUACUUAUGUUGCACUUUUUAAACGGCUCUAAACCUAUCAAUGAACUAGCCACAAAAAUAUUUGUUAGGUUGUUACCCCAGCAGCUCAUUACGGAACACCAUUUCAUACUCGUUUUAGCACGAAAUUCAUCACCUAUAACGCGUAUAGUCAGAAUAAAAUAAUUGAAUGAGCUCGAGUCACUAUUUUUGAAGAGCGCAUUCACCACCAGAGAGUUCAAGAUCAUCAUUACUCACAUUUGCAUUCAUUGAGAACCACGACAAGUUCGUGACUGGCAUGGAUUUUUACUUAUUUUCGUGACUGGAUUUUAAACAGAACUUCUCGAAAG